UUCGUCAUAGAGAAGGCGCAUUUUUAAGAAAGUGACCUUUAUUUCCACCGUUAAUAAAGCGAGCUAUUUUUUCCUCGUGUCAUUCUUGACGCCCGCGUCGGUGGGCGGAGCCUGAGGCUCGAAACGCGGUUCGAAUCACGUGACGGUCGAUGCGUUUUACUUCUGGAGGACGCUGUGACGCGCGGCAGAUCGCGAAAGAGACGAGGCGCUGCGCGAGAGAUGAAAGACUCCGAAUCCAAAGCGUCGCUGCAGAAAAGACCACUCAGGCAUACCCGCAGAGACAGCAUGCAACACAAACCAAACAUGGUUGCAGACGGACCCGAAGAGCUGGUCACAGAUGAGGUCACUCCGGUCCACGCAGCUCGUUUCGAGCUCUUCAGCUCCUUCUUCUUCUUGAAGCCCCGGCAUGUCUCUCUCUCCUGGACACGAGAGCACACUUGAAGAAAAAAGCUCGCUACAAACCUAAAGUCCUGUCAUCGUUUACUCUCCCUCGUGUUGCUCAUGCACGACUUUUCCUUCUUCUCCCGAACACGGGAGGUGUUUUUGAGGAACAUCUGUAUAUAAACUGUAGGUUAUUUAUGAUAUUGAAAAUCGUCUGUGAGGUGCACUGCAUAAGAUGGCAGACGUCUGCCUCGACUUUGCGUUUGUGUGGAUUUGUUUAAUUACAUUUGAACAGUGAAUAAGUGCAAAAAUGUAUUUUUUUUUUUCACCAAAUAUGAUGAUCUGUGCUGCGUGCCGAUGAAAGACUCAUGCUUUUUUUAAAUGCUUGAUGUUCAGUAAAGCCGAAUCAUGCAAAUCAUUUUAAAAGAAAAGGACAACUCUGGUUUAAGAUCAUCUUUCACGUUAUUUGCACCAUAAAGUUAUUUGCUCGACAGCUAAAGCAUCAAGAGCCGGACUAUAAACGCUGUACAUGCACAAAUAGUUUCAUCUUCUUCUGUUUUGAUUCACUGAAAUGAAUCGACUCCUUUGACUCAUUAGUUUGUGAAUCGAGCUUUAUAAGCUGUCAGAUUUAUUGCACAAAAAUCAAUAAAAAGAGAGAAUGUACUCACGGUCUGAUAAACAGCAAA